rnacentral:rRNA from 1 species
GACGAACGCUGGCGGCGUGCCUAAUACAUGCAAGUUGAGCGCUGAAGGUUGGUACUUGUACCGACUGGAUGAGCAGCGAACGGGUGAGUAACGCGUGGGGAAUCUGCCUUUGAGCGGGGGACAACAUUUGGAAACGAAUGCUAAUACCGCAUAAAAACUUUAAACACAAGUUUUAAGUUUGAAAGAUGCAAUUGCAUCACUCAAAGAUGAUCCCGCGUUGUAUUAGCUAGCUGGUGAGGUAAAGGCUCAUCAAGGCGAUGAUACAUAGCCGACCUGAGAGGGUGAUCGGCCACAUUGGGACUGAGACACGGCCCAAACUCCUACGGGAGGCAGCAGUAGGGAAUCUUCGGCAAUGGACGAAAGUCUGACCGAGCAACGCCGCGUGAGUGAAGAAGGUUUUCGGAUCGUAAAACUCUGUUGGUAGAGAAGAACGUUGGUGAGAGUGGAAAGCUCAUCAAGUGACGGUAACGACCCAGAAAGGGACGGCUAACUACGU